ensembl:snoRNA
UGGGCCGAUGACGAUGAUCGUUUCGGGAAGAGUCCUAAACGAUGAAACCGUGGCUAGAACUCUGAGGUCCAG